rnacentral:rRNA from 1 species
AUUGAACGCUGGCGGCAGGCCUAACACAUGCACGUCGAACGAGUGGCGGACGGGUUAGUAAUGUCUGGGAAACUGCCUGAUGGAGGGGGAUAACUACUGGAAACGGUAGCUAAUACCGCAUACCAUCAGAUUUGCCCAGAUGGGAUUAGCUAGUUGGUGUGGUAACGGCUCACCAAGUCGACGAUCCCUAGCUGGUCUGAGCGGAUGACCAGCCACACUGGAACUGAGACACGGUCCAGACUCCUACGGGAGGAAGCAGUGGGGAAUAUUGCACAAUGGGCGCAAGCCUGAUGCAGCCAUGCCGAGUGUAUGAAGAAGGCCUUCGGGUUGUAAAGUACUUUAAGCGGGGAGGCGUUACCCGCAGAAGAAGCACCGGCUAACUCCGUGCCAGCAGCCGCGGUAAUUC